GGGGCCGUAGCUCAAUUGGGAGAGCGCUGGCUUUGCAAGCCAGAGGUUGCCGGUUCGAUCCCGGUCGGCUCCA
rnacentral:tRNA from 1 species